rnacentral:rRNA from 1 species
AUUGAACGCUGGCGGCAGGCCUAACACAUGCAAGUCGAGCGCGAAAGUCUUCGGAUGAGUAAAGCGGCGAACGGGUGAGUAAUGCAUGGGAAUCUGCCUGGUAGUGGGGGACAACGUCUCGAAAGGGACGCUAAUACCGCAUACGCCCUACGGGGGAAAGGGGGGAUCUUCGGACCUCUCGCUAUCAGAUGAGCCCAUGUCAGAUUAGCUAGUUGGUAGGUAAAGGCCUACCAAGGCGACGAUCUGUAACUGGUCUGAGAGGAUGAUCAGUCACACUGGAACUGAGACACGGUCCAGACUCCUACGGGAGCAGCAGUGGGGAAUAUUGGACAAUGGGGGCAA